rnacentral:rRNA from 1 species
CAAAGUAGGGGCCGGGGGCGGGGGGAGAAGGUGGGGUGUGGGGGUGGUCCGGGAGUGUGGGGAGGAAAGGGGCCGUCGGCGGGGUGUGGGGUAGGCCGGGAAAACCUGCAGCUUAACGGGGGGGGGGCGGUCGAUAGGGGCAUCACUGGAGUGCGGCAGGGGAGACUGGAAUUCCUGGUGUAGCGGUGAAAUGCGCAGAUAUCAGGAGGAACACCGGUGGCGAAGGCGGGUCUCUGGGCCGAUACUGACGCUGAGGAGCGAAAGCGUGGGGAGCGAACAGGAUUAGAUACCCUUGUAGUC